rnacentral:rRNA from 1 species
UACGUAGGGGGCAAGCGUUGUCCGGAAUUAUUGGGCGUAAAGAGCGUGUAGGCGGCCAGACAAGUCUGCUGUGAAAACUCGAGGCUCAACCUCGAGCUGUCGGUGGAAACUGUCUGGCUAGAGUCCGGAAGAGGAGAGUGGAAUUCCUGGUGUAGCGGUGAAAUGCGCAGAUAUCAGGAAGAACACCUAUGGCGAAGGCAGCUCUCUGGGACGGUACUGACGCUGAGACGCGAAAGCGUGGGGAGCGAACAGG